rnacentral:rRNA from 1 species
AAUCUGUAGGUGUUGCCUUGAACAUGAAACUUUACCCACGCUCUUGUAUGUAAGGACAAUACGGUGGAUGGUGGUGCAUGGCCGUUCUUAGUUGGUGGAGCGAUUUGUCUGGUUAAUUCCGAUAACGAACGAGACUCUAGCCUAUUAAAUAGGUGCGUGGUUCUCUGCACCUUGCACCCUUCUUAGAGGGACAAGCGGCUCCUAGCCGCACGAAACAGAGCAAUAACAGGUCUGUGAUGCCCUUAGAUGUCCGGGGCCGCACGCGCGCUACACUGAAGGAAGCAGCGUGUUUUUAUCCCUGUCUGUAAAGACUGGGUAACCCGUGGAACCUCCUUCGUGAUUGGGAUAGGGGCUUGCAAUUGUUCCCCUUGAACGAGGAAUUCCCAGUAAGCGCGAGUCAUAAGCUCGCGUUGAUUAC